GGAAUAUUGCGCAAUGGGCGAAAGCCUGAUCCAGCCAUGCCGCGUGAGUGAAGAAGGCCUUAGGGUUGUAAAGCUCUUUCACCCGUGAAGAUGAUGACGGUAGCGGGAGAAGAAGCCCCGGCUACGUCCGAGCCAGCAGCCGCGGUAAUACGGAGGGGGCAAGCGUUGUUCGGAAUUACUGGGCGUAAAGGGCGCGUAGGCGGAACGUCAAGUCAGGGGUGAAAGGCCUGGGCUCAACCUGGGAACUGCCUUUGAAACUGACGAUCUUGAGUCCGGGAGAGGAUGGCGGAAUUCCCAGUGUAGAGGUGAAAUUCGUAGAUAUUGGGAAGAACACCGGUGGCGAAGGCGGCCAUCUGGUCCGGCACUGACGCUGAGGCGCGAAAGCGUGGGGAGCAAAC
rnacentral:rRNA from 1 species